UACGUAGGGGGCAAGCGUUGUCCGGAAUUAUUGGGCGUAAAGAGCGCGUAGGCGGUCCGAUAAGUCGGCUGUGAAAGUCAAGGGCUCAACCCUUGAAAGCCGGCCGAUACUGUCGGACUAGAGUCCGGAAGAGGCGAGUGGAAUUCCCGGUGUAGCGGUGAAAUGCGCAGAUAUCGGGAGGAACACCAAUGGCGAAGGCAGGUCUCUGGGCAUUAACUGACGCUGAGGAGCGAAAGCAUGGGGAGCGAACAGG
rnacentral:rRNA from 1 species